UGUGGUCUUUAUCGAAGUCGUCCCUGUUACUUGUAGCAGGUACGGUCAAAAAGAGACCUAUAGUAUUACUUUUACCGACGGUCGCUGUACGACUGCUACAUUAGUCGUUUCAGCAACAUUAAAUGAAAGGACAAAC
ensembl:snoRNA